GGAUACCUGGGCUGAGAAGGUGUAGAGCUGGAUAGAAAAUCAGCCUCUAGCCUGCUGGCUUGGCAACCUUGGGUGGAGCCCACCUCUCAGGCCAACGUGACAUUUUGCUUGUUUUCCUUCCAUGCACGUACUGGGCACAGCAGCUUGGAACAUCUGCUUUGGGAAUCUCUCAACAUUCUGCGGCCCUCACUCUGGGGACAACCAGCAUCACCCUGGGAGCAGCUUGGCUCCUUGGAAGGACUCGUAUGGCUACGACAUGAGAUCGCUGGCCAACAGGGCACACCUGCUGUUUUCUGCAUAGGGAGUGUGGGAAGGGAUCUUUUGCAGCCAGCCUGGAGGCUGAGGCUCACUUGUUUGGAACCACCCCCCACCUUGCAAGGAGCUUGAUCACCUGUCUGAGAGACCCUCCCCAGCUAAACCCUACCCACAUUUUCCCUGCGCCGGAGGGAAAAUACUGAGAUCUGAGGCAGCUUGUUUGCCCUUCCAUGAAGUGAGGACACAGCACCAUCUGUGAAGCAGACGGCAGCCCUCGGCAGACUCGGAAUCUGCUGACACCUUGAUCUUGGACAACGCAG